UGGGGUCUCCCCGCAGCCCAGAGUCGGAGAUUGUUGAAAACUUUAAAUUUGAUUCCUGAAAGGACUCAAUGGCUUACAGAAGGGAUGAAAUGUGGUCUGAAGGACGAUACGACUAUGAAAGACUUCCAAGAGAACGAGUACCUCCUCAAAAUCACCCCAGUGAUGGCUACCAUAGAGUAGUUAAUAUUGUGCCAAAGAAACCAUCACUGCUAGACAGACCUGGUGAAGGAAGCUACAAUAGAUAUUACAGUCAUGUUGAUUACCAAGAAUAUGACAAGGGCCACAGUUUUUCUCAUGAUCGAAGAAGUGGUCCACCUCACAGAGGAGAUGAAUCUGGCUAUAGGUGGACAAGAGAUGAUCAUUCUGCAAGUCGACAGCCUGAGUACAGGGACAUGAGAGAUGGCUUUAGAAGAAAAAGUUUCUAUUCUUCCCAUUACAUGAGAAACCGGUCUCCUCAUAAAAGAGAUACUCCUUUUUUUCAGAUAAUUACCUGUAGGUCGAAUGGAUUCUCCACACAGCAGGUCUGGCUCGUGUCAGUAGCAAAAGCUACUCUCCAGAAAGAAGCAAAAUGUACUCUUUCCAUCAAGCUCAACAUAGAAAGUCCGUCUGUGCUGGUGCCUCCUACAAACGGCAGAAUGAAGGAAAUCCAGAAAGAGGUAAAGAGAGACCUGUUCAGUCUUUGAAAACAUCAAGAGACACCUCACCCUCAUGUUCUUCAGCAGUUCCUCCAUCAAAGAUGUUAGACAAACCCAGUAGGCUAACUAAAAAGGAACGCUGAGUUUGCAAGCAAGUGCGCUGCUGAAAAGCUAGAGAAGGCAGAUGAGUGUAACUUACCUGAAAUUGAGUAUGAGACAGGAUCCACAGCACCAUUGUUUAUUGAGCAGGGAGAGGAACCUGAGUCAAAUGCAACAGAUGGCAUAGAAUUAUUUGAAGACAGUCAACUAAGCAGUCUCUCUAAAGCAGUAGCAUCAAAACCGAAAGAGAUUGGACAGGUUUACCGACAAGACUGUGAAACUUUUGGGAUGGUUGUGAAAAUGCUGAUUGAAAAAGAUCCUUCAUUAGAAAAGUCUAUACAGUUUGCAUUGAGAAAGAAUUUACAUGAAAUAGGUGAGAGGUGUGUUGAAGAACUCAAGCAUUUCAUUGCAGAGUAUGACACCUCUAGUCAAGAUUUUGGAGAGCCUUUUUAG